rnacentral:rRNA from 1 species
UACAGAGGGUGCAAGCGUUGUUCGGAAUUAUUGGGCGUAAAGCGCGUGUAGGCGGUUUGGCAAGUCGGGUGUGAAAUCCCUCAGCUUAACUGAGGAAGUGCGCCCGAAACUGCCGAGCUUGAGUACCGGAGAGGGUGGCGGAAUUCCCCAAGUAGAGGUGAAAUUCGUAGAUAUGGGGAGGAACACCGGUGGCGAAGGCGGCCACCUGGACGGAUACUGACGCUGAGACGCGAAAGCGUGGGGAGCAAACAGG